ACCAGCUUAGUGCGGUUCCUUUAAUGCCAAUUUGAUGCUCAAGUCUCUGUAAAAGAAUAUUAUGGUCAAUGGUGUCAAAUGCAGCACUAAGAUCUAAUAAUACAAGUACAGAGACAAGUCCAUUGUCAGAAGCAGUCAGAAGGUCAUUAUUAACUUUAACCAGAGCUGUCUCUGUGCUAUGAUGAACUCUAAAUCCUGACUGAAAAUCCUCAAAUAAACUAUUGUUAUGUAGAAAGUCACACAA